UUGAAAGUCUUGUCUCUUUUACAAAAGGAAGUUCAAAAGGGAUGAGAGUGGAAAUUAAAACGACCUAUUUUGUUCGGCCAGCCCAUUAACGCACGCUACAAAGAGACCGAACAUACCAGGGCAAGCAAGUGCUAUUUCUAGGCCAUUGCGAGUUGUAAUAGGUCUCGCCUACAAUGCCACGCUAUUGGGCCGGCUCAAUGCUGUAGCAGCGCAUGAGUUUCCCCCCUGUCGUUUUGUUUAGCGUUAUCACCGUUUUGCAUGAGUUUUCUUCGGGCUUUUGUUAGUUUUUCUUUGGUUUUUCCCUUUUUCCUUUUUUUGUUUUCUAUGUGUCUUUCUCUGUUUUCACCGGUGUUCUCCGAUUUUCUUUAUUUUUUAUGUUUUAUCUUUUCAACACAUGUACCGUUUUUUCAUACACAUUGUACACUUAUGGUAUCAGUCUGCAAUAUUUUUAUACAGGUUUAAAUUAUUCAAAUACAUGAAUAUAAUAUUUUUAAAUAUAUAUCUGGAUGUCUAAUGUUUUUCAAACACAUUGUAUAUUUUCCGUAUAUAUCUAAAACAUUUUUAUAGAUGUUUAACAUUUUUCGAUCCUUCAUUUAUAACAAUCAAAUACAUUUAUUCGUAUAUGUGUUAAAAAGUUUUCACAUACAUGAUGAAAUUUUUUUUUGAAUGAUACAGUUUUUUAAACAUUGUUUAAACUAUUUUUUUGAAAUGUCGCAAACAUAUUUUUGCAACACCGGAACAUUUUCUUAAAGUGUAACACACAUUUUUUGAAUGGUAUGGUACAUGUUUUGGAUUUAAAGAACAUUUGUUUGCAUUGUAUAACAUUUUUCAAUAAUGCCACAUACAUUAACACAAAAUGUGUUAUCAUUUUUUAGAUGUCACAUGCAUAUUUUGAAUGGUACAAACAUUUUUGCAAAUUUGAGAAGAUAUUUUCAAAUAUGACCCAAUGAGAAGUCUCUUAUAAGUAAUAUAAAUUCACGCCUCACCCCUACAUAUCUAAGAUGCACGCAUCCAACCCAACACACGCGUGGCACAAUAGAAGACGACAGUACAUGAAGUCCUAGAUGUAUGAUCGUGUGUGGUGGUGUGAGUGUGACACAUAUAUCUUUAUCUUGUAAUCGGUGUUUCUAAAAAAAUCCCAUAACACUACCUACCCAACUGUACAAGCAAGUAAAGCAGGACCAGAACAUAUCUCAAAUAAAAAAAAAAUCUGAAACAUAACACACAAGAACAUGUAGCUGAAAGAAACCUUUUAGAGCUUUUGGCUAAACUGCGGCACCGCAAACUGGUUGGGUCCGUCUGAAACCAGGUGCAAUGCAUGCAGGGGGGCUGUGUUAUACGAGAUAACACAUACCCAUGCAUGUCUCGUGUUUCACCCACCUUCGUCGUCAUCUUCUCCUCCCUCAUUUUUCAUUACAACAUAUAUAUUAGCUACCUCGAUUGUCUUGCCACCCAGGGUUAGAAAUAAAGGUAGAACUGACCGAUCAAGAACAACUUCUUGUAUAUACCAAUGGCAGACUGGAGCAAUAUUGGAAACCUUGGGCUGGCAGCAGCAGUCGCCGUGGUUUCAACCGGCACAAUUCUCAUCUCCUUCCACCACAUCCGCCGCCUCAAGGACAAUACCAAGCUCAACAAUAUCACCGCAAAAGAACAACAGAGCAGGACGAUCAAGAAGAAGAUCCAGUUCACCGAUGACGUGUUGGUGGAUCUCUCACCGGAGAACGAGGAGUACCCCAGCUGGCUAGACUGUAUGACCAUGACUGGUGGCCUCAUCCAGUCACCGCUAUGAAGGGUGCCUCGAUUCGAUAAUUUGGCAGGCGUGCGUAACUAAUUAUCUUGUAAUGUAGCUAGUCGGACAGCAAGAAAUUAAGCAGCAUUUUGCUGGCACAUCUAGUUAAGUUAAUUGUUAUUACCAACUCAUUUAUAAUAACUAAGGUGUUUAAUUCAGUACACAUCAAGAAUGUAAGAUGCUUGGGGA